rnacentral:lncRNA from 1 species
CAGAGCAGCUGGCAGCGCGGUGGGCAGCGCUGGCCGAGUGGGCACUCCGGGUACCACGUAGGUCCGCGCGGGAUCCGAGCCACGCACGCAGCUCCAUCGCCAUCCCCAGCCGGGUCAAGCGCGCAGGCGGGAGAGUGGAUCACGGCAGCCAGAGAGGUGAGCUGCAGGGCGGAUCCGGGUGCCAGCCCGGGCCAGGCGCACUGGGUGCUCCGGGCUCGGGGACUUUGCAGAACUUUCCUGCGUGGGCCGGGACGCGCGGCCAGCAUGGGCGCACUCAUGCCCGCACGGGGGCUGCCCUGCACGCGGUCCCGCGAUCCAAACGCUUUACCCACUCCUCACCCGGUACACUGGCUUGGGCGGGGGCGAGCAGCAAGUUGCGGAGCUGGGCGGGGGUCGCGCGGGCAGGGUGGGGGAGGGCCUGGUGAGCCGCCCGGGAGGAUGUCAGUCUCCGCGCCUGCGCGCGGGGCGCCCCGCGAUUCAAUUGUCGCGCCCGAGCCUGAUUUCGCGCGCCCUGAGUUCCCCGGGUGCGUCAGGACCAAUAGGGAGCGAUCGGGGCGGGGCGACCGGGUGCGGCGGAGCCAAUAAGAGGCAGCUCAAGUGAAGGGGGGAGGGACUUGGCGAGAGGGGCCCUUCGGUCCGUCCGGGCGGUGGGGGUGGGCGUGGGUUUUCUGGCGCGACCCGCGCGGCGCGGGCAGAGUGCCAGAGGGUCGCUGGGGCAGCGCUUCGGGAGUCCGGGGGGCGCAGGCCGCCGUGGGGCCAAGGUGAGUCGCCCCGCGCGCGCGGGGGCGGCCGGGACGGGGCGGCCGGUUGCCAUGGCCACGGCGGGGCUGGCCGCGCACGCGCGCGGGGGGCACCAAGGGGUCCCGGGACUCGGGGGUCGCGGGUGGGGUCCUGCCUCCUCGGUCCCACUUAGUGGAGUUGUCCCGGGACUUCACAACUUGCGACCCACUCCGGACUUUGGGAAGUCCCCCUUGUGUAGACACGAAUCCCGGGAAUGAAUGAACGAGCCGGCGCAGUCACUCGGGGUGGCUGCGCGCGCUCGGCCCGGGCCCCCCCCCCCAGCCCCGGAUCUGGUUUUGCUGUGAACGGAUGGUGGGCUGCACUGGAUGGCCUGAGGUCUCGUUUCCCUCCCUGCUCAAUCCUCAACACUUGCUGGUCAUUAAGACACAGUCCUUAAUUUACUUUGCCUGGCCCUGGUUGAGACUUGGCAGUCCACCGGGACCAGGAGGUCUGGAGGACAUUCUGGGAGUUUCAUACUGUCCACCAACUGGACAGAAGUAACCAUGAUCCCAGUAUAGCCUGACAUGGCCUGGUGGCACAACUGACCCCCGUCCUGCUUUCUUUUCCUCCAUCAGCGCUGACACCAUGUGGGUCCAGGUGCGCACCAUGGACGGGAAGGAGACCCACACUGUGAACUCACUGUCCAGGCUGACCAAGGUGGAGGAGCUGAGGCGGAAGAUUCAAGAGGUGUUUCACGUGGAGCCAGGCCUGCAGAGGCUGUUUUAUAGGGGCAAGCAGGUAAGCCAGCAGGCAGCCUGCCGGCUGGCCCAC